UCUUGGAGAAUGAAAGUAGUCCCGGGUACUCAGGAGGCUGAGGCAGGAGGACUGCUUGAGUUCAGGAGUUCUGAGCUAUACUGCACUAUUCUGAUAGGGUGUCUGCACUAAGUUUGGCAUCAAUAUGGUGAUCUCCUGGGAGCGAGGGGCCGCCAGUUUGCCUAAGGAGGGGUGAAUCAGCCCAAGUCAGAAAUGGAGCAGGUCAAAACUCCUGUGAUGAUCAAUACUGAGAUAGCACCUGUAAAUAGCCACUGCAUUUGAGCCUGGGCAACAUAGUAAGACCCUGGUGCU
ensembl:misc_RNA RN7SL165P RNA, 7SL, cytoplasmic 165, pseudogene